rnacentral:tRNA from 1 species
GGAGGGAUGGCCGAGCGGACGAAGGCAGCAGUCUUGAAAACUGCAGUGCCUCCCAAGAGGCACCGGGGGUUCGAAUCCCUCUCCCUCCG